rnacentral:rRNA from 1 species
UACGAAGGGUGCAAGCGUUACUCGGAAUUACUGGGCGUAAAGCGUGCGUAGGUGGUGAGUUAAGUCUGUCGUGAAAGCCCCGGGCUCAACCUGGGAAUGGCGAUGGAUACUGGCUCGCUAGAGUGCGGUAGAGGAGAGUGGAAUUCCCGGUGUAGCAGUGAAAUGCGUAGAGAUCGGGAGGAACACCGGUGGCGAAGGCGGCAUCCUGGACCGGAAUUGACGCUGAGGCGCGAAAGCCAGGGAGCAAACGGG